UACAGAGGGGGCAAGCGUUGUUCGGAAUUACUGGGCGUAAAGGGCGCGUAGGCGGCCCGCUAAGUCGAACGUGAAAUCCCCAGGCUCAACCUGGGAACUGCGUCCGAUACUGGCAGGCUUGAAUCCGGGAGAGGGAUGUGGAAUUCCAGGUGUAGCGGUGAAAUGCGUAGAUAUCUGGAGGAACACCGGUGGCGAAGGCGGCAGCCUGGACCGGUAUUGACGCUGAUGCGCGAAAGCCAGGGGAGCAAACGGG
rnacentral:rRNA from 1 species